rnacentral:lncRNA from 1 species
ACAUAUUUUUCUAACUAAAAAGUUUAAUAAAAAAAGGAAAAACUUAAAAAAAAUCCUCUGUGGUUUGACACUUGUUCAUUAGUGCUAUGUGGUUUAAAGUGUAUCAAGUUAGUACCCUAUGGUUUCCCGCUUUAUCAUUUUAAUACUCUAUGAUUUAAAGUGUAUCAAGUUAGUACUAUGUGAUUUUAUUUUUGUAUCAAAUUAGUACCCUGUGGUUUUAUUUUUGUAUCAAGUUAGUACCCUAUAGUUUUUAAACCACAGAAUACUAAAAUGAUAAAGUGCGAAACCGCAGGGUACUAAAGUGAUAAAGUGCAAAACCAAAUGGUACUAACUUGAAACACUAUAAACCACAGGAUACUAAAGUGAUAAAGUGAGAAACCACAGAGUACCAACUUGAUACAUUUUAAACCACAGGGUAGUAAAGUGAUAAAGUGAGAAAUCACAAGGUACUAACUUAAUACAUUUUAAACCGCAGGGCACUAAAAUGAAAAAAAUGUGAAACCACAGGAGGGAUAUUUGAAGUUUUUCCUAAAAUCUAAAAAAAUUAUUUCAAUUCUUGAAUGAAUGA